GCCCUUAUAGCUCAGUGGUAGAGCGCGUCACUAGUACUUGCGGUUAAGCGGGUCAUUUCCCCAAUGACGAGGUCGAUCGUUCAAGUCGGUCUGGGGGCA